UACGUAGGUGGCAAGCGUUGUCCGGAAUUAUUGGGCGUAAAGCGCGCGCAGGCGGUUCUUUAAGUCUGAUGUGAAAGCCCACGGCUCAACCGUGGAGGGUCAUUGGAAACUGGAGAACUUGAGGACAGAAGAGGAAAGCGGAAUUCCACGUGUAGCGGUGAAAUGCGUAGAGAUGUGGAGGAACACCAGUGGCGAAGGCGGCUUUCUGGACUGUAACUGACACUGAGGCACGAAAGCGUGGGGAGCAAACAGG
rnacentral:rRNA from 1 species